rnacentral:rRNA from 1 species
GACGAACGCUGGCGGCGUGCCUAAUACAUGCAAGUCGAACGCAGUGGGGACGGGUGAGUAACACGUGGGUAACCUCCCAUCAGAGGGGAUAACACUUGGAAACAGGUGCUAAACCGAUACUGAUGGAUGGACCCGCGAUGCAUUAGCUAGUUGGUGAGGUAACGGCUCACAAAGGCCACGAUGCAUAGCCGACCUGUGAGGGGGAUCGGCCAAACUGGAACUACGACACGGCCCAGACUACUACGAGAGGCAGAAGGAGGGAAUCUUCGGAAAUGAACGAAAGUCUGACCGAGCAACGCCGCGUGAGUGAAGAAGGUUUUCGGAUCGUAAAACUCUGUUGUUAGAGAAGCGGUAUCUAACCAGAAAGCCACGGCUAACUACGUGCCAGCAGCCGCGGUAAUUC